AGCUAGUUAUCUUACUAUAUUGAUAAAAUACAUUACACUUUUAAAGAAUUUAAAAGAAUACAAAUUUAAAUAUUGACUAUGGCAUUAUUGAAAGGGAUAAUUAUUAACCCCUAAAUGUCAACCAAUAGUAAAUCAGACAUAAAUGAUAAAAAGAUCAUGUUUAUCUUACCUUUGUUAAAUCCUAAACAGCAAACAUGGGACAAAUUAAUGUAGGUUGUGCUCCUUAACUCUUUCCACUUCCAUCUUCAUUUUCACAGUCCCACAAACUUUGAUUUCAACAUUUUCAUUACCACUCUCUACAAUUUACAUCUCUUUCUCCUGCAAUGGAAGCAGUAGGUUUCAAAGCAACCAUAAAUAAGGAUUUCAUAACUGAAGAGCUUCACAAUGACAGGGAAGAAGAUCGAGAACGAGUUCCUAUGGGAAGAGGGGGUCCCGUGAUGGGUUUGUCUCUCCCUUCUUCUGAAGUUGAAAAAUCCAAGCUCAGUUUAUCGGAUGCAUUUGGCCGACAAAAUGGAAGGCAUAGUAGGAAGAGCUCGAGUCAACCAUCAGCAGAAGCUGGAAGUUAGAAUGGAAUCAAUUCCUAUUAGCAGCCACCAUAUCUUUGAAAAGUCAAAGAUAUUGGUGUCAGAAUUUUGGCACCGAAAAUAGGAGCAUUUAUGGCACCGAAAUUUAGUUUGAAAUUUGGCAUGGGAUAAUUGCAAUUUUGGUCCCUAAUUGUAUAGGGACUUUGCAAGUUGAUCCCUUAACCUCAACUAUAAAUAGGCCUAACCAUUUCUCAUUUUGAUCAUCCCAAAUUUGAUAUUCUCUACUUAAAGCUUUGUUCUCUCUCCCUAUUUGUAAAUUUCACUUGUAUUUUUGGGGUGAAAUAUAUUUGGUAGUGCCUGAGGACGUAGGCAAAAUUUGCUGAACCUCGUUAAAAUUCUGGUGUUCUUUAUUAUUUAUUUUUGCAUAUUUUUUUAGUGUGAUUGUAGUGAUUUAUUGUGCUAUUAAAUUACGAUAAAGGGAUAUUCUGGCUAGGAAAGACCUGGUACUUAAGUGAUCCUCGUGAUCCACCUCUCUUUCCUGGUAAUUGAACUUAGUGUGAUUUUUUAGUACAAUAAUUUUACUCUUUUACACGCUUCCACGCAACAAUUGGUAUCAGAGCUAAUUCGUACUUGGGGAAUACGACCGUUUACGGCACUACUCACGUAUACGGCACUGUUCACGUAUACAGUAGUUGGGAUUGAGGAGAAAAAUGGCAGAGGCAUCGUCAUCAGCAAGGACUACUGUGACCAAUGCAAAAUUUGAAGUAGAGAAAUUUGACGGUACCAAUAAUUUUGGUAUGUUGCAAUGUGAGAUCCUGGAUGUCUUAUGUCAGCAAGAGCUGGAUAUAGCCCUUGAAGAAAAACCUGACAAGAUGGAUGACAAUGAGUGGGCGAAGAUCAAUAGACAGGCGUGUGGUACAAUCUGCCUAAGUUUAGCCAAAGAGCAGAAGUACUCUGUCAUGAGAGAGACAUCAGCGAAGAAGUUAUGGGAUACACUGGAAGAAAAGUUUCUAACGAAAAGUCUUGAAAAUAGGCUUUAUAUGAAAAAGAAACUUUUUCCAUUCACGUAUGCUCCCGAUAUGUCGAUGAAUGACCAUGUGAACUCAUUCAAUAAAAUUUUAGCAGACUUGCUAAAUUUGGACGAGAAAUUUGAAGAUGAAGACAAGGCAUUAUUGUUGUUGAAUUCUCUUCCUGAUGAAUAUGAUCAUCUUACCACCACAUUGCUUCAUGGGAAGGACACAAUCACAUUUGAUGCAGUCUGUAGUGCGUUGUAUAGAUCUGAGACUCGAAAGAAAGAUAAAAGAGAUCACAGAGAUACAACUGCAGAAGUCUUAAUAGUAAGAGGUCGUUCGCAUAGCAGCAAAUCUAGUAGAAGGGGAAAGUCCAGAGGGAAACCCGCCAAAGACGAAUGUGCCUUUUGUCGUGAGAAAGGGCAUUGGAAAAAGAAUUAUCCUAAGUUACAAAAGGGCAAGGCUAUUUCUAAUGCAUGUGUAGCAGAGCAUGAUGAGGAGUUAGAUUUUAGCUUGGUUGACAUGGCAAUGGCAUGUCAUACGGAUGAGUGGAUUUUGAAUUCAGGAUGUACUUACCAUAUGUGUCCUAAUAAAGACUGGUUUUCUAGUCUUAAAGAGCUAGAAGGUGGAGUUGUUCUUAUGGGCAAUGAUAGUGCUUGUAAGACAAUGGGAGUGGGUACAGUCCAAUUGAAGAAUCACAAUGGCUCAAUCCAAGUCUUGACAGAUGUUCGCUACGUACCUAGCCUGAAGAAAAAUCUCAUCUCAUUAGGGGCCCUAGAAUCUAAAGGGCUCACAAUCACUUUGAGAGAUGGAUUACUAAAGGCAGUAGCCCAGGAAUUGACGGUGAUGAAAGGCACAAGAAGAAAUAACUUGUAUUUUUUAAAUGGAAGUACAGUUAUUGGAUCAACAUCAACAGUUUCUGCGAAAGAUGUAGAUUCAGAGGCUACCAGAUUAUGGCAUAUGCGAUUGGGACAUGCUGGUGAAAAAGCUUUGUAGACUUUGGCGAAGCAAGGCUUGUUGAAAGGUGCAAAUUCUUGCAAAAUGGAAUUCUGUAAACAUUGUGUUAUGGGCAAGCAGACGAGGGUAAAAUUUGGUCCAGCAAUUCACAAUACGAAAGGAAUUCUGGACUACGUUUACAGUGAUGUGUGGGGAUCUACCAAAGUGGCUUCUUUGGGAGGUAUGCACUAUUUUGUUACUUUUCUUGAUGAUUAUUCAAGAAAAGUAUGGGUGUAUCAAAUGAAAAGAAAAAAUGAAGUUUUGGAUGCAUUUCUGAAAUGGAAGAAGAUGGUGAAGACUCAGACUGGUCGAAAGGUCAAACGACUUCGAUCAAAUAAUGGUACUGAGUACAAAAAUGAUCCAUUUCUACAAGUAUGUCAAGAUGAGGGCAUUGUGAAACACUUCACUGUUCGGGAUACACCACAGUAGAAUGGGGUGGCAGAAAGCAUGAAUCGGACUAUACUGGGAAAGUUCGAUGUAUGUUGUCCAAUGCUGGAUUGGGCAAGGAAUUUUGGGCUGAGGUAGUUACAUAUGCGUGCCAUCUAAUUAACCAUUUGCCAUCAGCUGCAAUAAAUGGAAAAACUCCUAUGGAGAUGUGGACUGGUAAAUCUGCUACUGAUUAUGAUUCUUUACAUGUAUUUGGCUCCACUGCAUAUUAUCAUGUAAAAGAAUCUAAGUUAGACCCAAGAGCAAAGAAAGCAUUAUUCUUGGGUAUAACUGAUGGAGUAAAAAGAUACCGUCUCUGGUGUCUUGAUACAAGGAAGAUUGUUUUCAGUAGAGAUGUGACUUUUGAUGAAUCAACCAUGUUAAAGUACAAGGAUUCACAAAAGGAUGACAGAACCAGUAGUACUUUGCAGCAGGUGGAGCUUGAAAAGGUUAACGAUGAUCCAGCUAAUAUUGGAGGGACAAAUGAUGAAGAAGUUCCGAUCGAAAAACCUCUACAGCAACAAGAUUCAAUUGCAUAUAGGAGGCCAAGAAGAGAGAUUCGUAAGCCUACUCGCUUUGAUGAUAUAGUGGCCUAUGCACUUCUAAUUGCAGAUGAUGAUGUUCCUUCUACUUACACAGAAGCAAUAAGUAACCCUGAUGGUGUAAAGUGGAAGCAAGCCAUGAAUGAAGAAAUGCAGUCUCUUCAUAAAAAUAGGACCUGGGAGUUGGUGACACUGCCCAAGGGAAAGAAGGCAAUUGGAUGCAAAUGGGUAUAUGCAAAGAAGGAAGGAUUUCCUGGUAAAUAUGAAAUUCGAUACAAGGCUAAAUUGGUAGCAAAGGGUUACGCUCAGAAAGAAGGAAUAGACUACAAUGAAGUGUUUUCUCCAGUUGUGAAGCAUUUGUCUAUUCGAAUUUUACUAGCCUUGGUUGCGCAAUAUGAUCUUAAACUAGUUUAGCUUGAUGUGAAGACAGCAUUUUUACACGGUGAUUUGGAAGAGGAAAUCUAUAUGACUCAACCAGAUGGAUUCAAGGUUGCUGGAAAAGAAAAUUGGGUUUGCAAACUGACAAAGUCGCUUUAUGGAUUGAAGCAAUCUCCGAGGUAGUGGUACAAGCGAUUUGAUCUGUUAAUGAAAGGGCAAAGGUACACAAGAAGUAAAUUUGAUCAUUAUGUGUAUUUUCAGAAGCUACAAGAAGGAACUUUCAUAUACUUGCUCUUAUAUGUUUAUGAUAUGCUAAUAGCAUCUAAGAGCAAAGUUGAGAUUGAAAGAUUGAAGACUCAACUCAAUAUCGAGUUUGAGAUGAAAGAUCUAAGUGAAGCUAAAAGGAUUCUUGGCAUAAAAAUAUGGAGAGAUAGAGCUCAUGAUAGAGUUAGCUUAUCUCAGAAGCAGUAUUUGAAGAAGGUACUACAGUAGUUUGGCAUGAAUGAGCAUACAAAACCUGUAAGUACCCCAUUGGCUUCCCAUUUCAAGCUUUCUGCACAACUAUCUCCUUCGACGAAUACGGAACAAGAAUACAUGUUGCAAGUUCCAUAUUCUAAUGCAGUGGGUAGCUUGAUGUAUGCAAUAGUGUGUACAAGGCCCGGCAUUUCACAGGUAGUUAGUAUAGUGAGCAGGUAUAUGCAUAAUCCUGGAAAAGGACAUUGGCAAGCUGUGAAAUGGAUUCUAUGGUAUAUUCAGAAGACCGUGGAUAUUGGAUUACUGUUCAAGCAGGAUAAUACACUUGGUAAAGGUGUUAUUGGGUACGUUGAUUCUGACUAUGCCGGUGAUUUAGACAAGCGAAGAUCAACCACAUGUUAUGUGUUUACACUUGCUGAAGGACCAAUAAGUUGGAAGUCUACACUACAGUCUACAGUUGCAUUGUCAACCACAGAAGCUGAAUACAUAGCUGUAACAGAGGCUGUAAAGGAAGCUAUUUGGUUAUAAGGUAUGGUUAAAACCUUGAGAUUGGUUCAGGAGCAUAUUAACGUGUAUUGUGAUAGUCAAAGUGCUAUUCAUUUAGCAAAGAAUCAAGUCUAUCAUGCACGUAUAAAGCAUAUCGACGUACGAUUCCAUUUUGUGCGAGAAAUUAUUGAUGAGGGGAAAAUUUGUCUUCAGAAGAUCAAGACUGCAAAUAAUCCCGCAGAUAUGAUGACCAAGGUGGUAACAGCAACCAAGUUCGAACAUUGUUGGAACUUGAUCAAUAUCCUGCAAGUUUAACAAUUGAAGAAGGCAGUAUCAAGUAUUGUUGUCAAAGGUAGAAAGAAUUGUGUGAAGAUAAGAUUAUCCUAAUCAAAUCUUCAAGGUGGAGAUUAUUAGCAGCCACCAUAUCUUUGAAAAGUCAAAGAUAUUGGUGUCAAAAUUUUGGCACCGAAAAUAGGAGCAUUUAUGGCACCGAAAUUUAGUUUGAAAUUUGGCAUGGGAUAAUUACAAUUUUGGUCCCUAAUUGUAUAGGGACUUUGCAAGUUGAUCCCUUAACCUCAACUAUAAAUAGGCCUAACCAUUUCUCAUUUUGAUCAUCCCAAAUUUGAUAUUCUCUACUUAAAGCUUUUUUCUCUCUCCCUAUUUGUAAAUUUCACUUGUAUUUUUGGGGUGAAAUAUAUUUGGUAGUGCCUGAGGACGUAGGCAAAAUUUGCUGAACCUCGUUAAAAUUCUGGUGUUCUUUAUUAUUUAUUUUUGCAUAUUUUUUUAGUGUGAUUGUAGUGAUUUAUUGUGCUAUUAAAUUACGAUAAAGGGAUAUUCUGGCUAGGAAAGACCUGGUACUUAAGUGAUCCUCGUGAUCUACCUCUUUUUCUUGGGAAUUGAAUUACUGUGAUUUUUUAGUACAAUAAUUUUACUCUUUUACACACUUCCGCACAACAGUUCCCCAUCAAAAGGGAGUCAUUCUAGACAUCAUCAGCCUAUGCUUCGUAUCUUAAGAACCAAAACAUCAACUUAUCAUACUACGGUCAGAUAUUGGAAUUAAAAUUCGAUUAUCCAAGGAAACCUAGGGGAUAAUAUCUGAAGGAAAUUUAGAUUGCUCAAUACAAAUUUCAGAAUUUCAUGGCAGAAUAGGUAUCUGAUCAAUUGAACCGCUAAAGAGAUUGAAAGCUUGGUUUAAUAUUAUGUUCCAAUGCUAUAAAUUCAAUUUUUUUCAGUAGUUUAUUAGACAGCUUAAUUAUGGUUUGCCUAUGCAUAGAAAGCUUAGGAUACGACACAAAAUAUGUAUAACAUAAGAAAUGUUCAAAAAGAGUUGGUUAUCGACCAGAAACAGGUGAAGUUUCCACACUUACACAUCACUAAAAUUUUACAACAAAAAUGGAAAUGUCGUCGUUGUUGUUCCUUUUAAUAGCUUUCCAGUGAUAGGUGUUAAAAGUAACAUAUUUUAACAUCGUUCUUAAUGCGUUUCUUGAUUAUUAUUUGAUGUUAAUGGUGAAUUUUAUGCUCCUAGUCAUUUGAAUUCAAGUUUUUAUACUUAGGAGAGCAUUUGGGAGCAAAAGAAACGAAAAUCAAAAAAUUGGAGCGAGUGACAGGAACUACACGGGUUGGACCAUUCUAUAUGGAUUGUACACACGACUGUGUGAGCCACAUGGGCUGCCACAUGAACAUGUGGUAGGCCCUAUCAAUUUCGCAAAUUGCACUCUGAACAACGGAAAAACAUUAUUUUUAGGGUUUUUUUGAGCUUUCUGAGACUUAUAUAUGACAAAAAUAAGAAGAUAGGAAUGAGCCGUAAAAGAAUACUCAAGAAAACAACUCAAAAAACACCAUUGAAGUGGAUUCUAAAGCAGAUUUCUAUCAAGAUUGAAGGUUUCAUUUUGAUUUCUUUGAAGAUUAUUAUGAGUUUCUUUUUUAUAUGUGGUCAUACUGUCUUUGUGAUAUUUUUAUUUGCGAUCAUGAACUAAUUUUCUAAAUACCUAAGGGAGAUGAACCCUAUGAUGAAAUUUGUCGUUUGAUUUUUAUUUUACGCUAUAAAGACUUAGAUAUUGUUCUCAAUUAGGUGUGCUUAAUUCUUGGUUUAAUAUUUCUAGACUAUUAAUCAAUGUUUGAUGUGGUUAAAUCAUAGGAGAAAUAGACUAUGUUUAAAAGUAUAUCUAGCGUAAUUCAGUGGAGUUGUAUACAAUCUUAAAAAUAGACGACAUAAAUUUAUCGGAUUAGAAUCAAAUCUAAUAGGGGAAUCCAUAGAUCGAGUUAAUGCAAUAAUAUGGUUUUUAAUUUGAAAGAAAUUUCAAUAUUCAACUUAGAGUCAAUUGCUCUUAGUCUUGAAGACAGAUAUUAGCAUAAUUUAGAGAUUUCUACAAAUCAAUAUACUAAGUGAAAAAAUUACGUAAUUUAGAUUGAUAGAGACAGAUGAAGUCUAGGUGAAUUCUUUCUAGUGUGUUGUUUUGCUUCUUGAUUGUUAAUCGAUUAUUUUCUUGAUUUUUUCUUUGUCACGUUCAUAGCUAAUUAAUUUAGUUAAUUUUAGUUUUCAAUCAAUCAUUUGAAUUUAUAAGUUAAAUAAUAGAAAGAUAGUAAUUACUAGUACUUUUAGUCUUCAUGAGAACGAUAUCUUUGCUCGCCGUAGCUAUACUAUUAAUUGAUAGGUGCAUUUACAUUAGUCAAAUUUUUCAUUGGUUUCUUGAAUACCAAGUUUUUGGCGCUGUUGUUAGGGAUUAAAAUAUUAGUAAAACUUUAUUUCUAUUAAUUUUAAUAUUUUUGCUUUUAAUUUAAUUAUUACAUUCUAAUUUUUUUUAUUUUGACAGGUUCUUUUAAUUUAUAACUAGAGGAAACCCGUCAGAACCGUUAAUUUUUUUACAGUGAAAUUAAAAAGACUACUCCCAGAAAUUGUAUAGAAGUUAGAGAAGUAAGGCAAGAUCAACAGGUUUUAAUAGACGAUAAAGAAAAGGACAUUACUAUGGAGAUCGAUGAUAAUUAAAAUAAUUAACGGAUAAAGCACCUAAACUAUAAGACAACUAAGCCUCUCCCGACCAUACAAGUGCACGGCGAGCCCAUGCAAAAGGUUUGGUUAAGAUAUGCCAAAUUCCACCAAAUAUACAAAUGGAACCUAACCAUACAUGUCCUCCAAUUAUAUCUUCCAAAACGUCCACACUAACAAUCCACCCUUCGCCUCCAAAGGGCGAUUUUAGUAAAUAACCAAAUAUAACACUUGGGCCUAACAUAGAUAAGUUAAGAGAUAAUUGAGCAUGCCAUGAUAUUGUUGGGAUUUCAUAUAGUCCUUUAUGCCCUUGGCCUGUAAAUGGACCUUUAUGAGCCUCUGAAAUAUCUUUUAGGCUAUGCCCAAUGCCCCAGUUGGUCUUAUACAUAUAACCCGCUAUUAGGAAAAGAAUUGCAAUAGCUAAAUGAUGGUGUGCAAUAUCAGUCAACCAUAGACCCGCAGUCACUGGAUCUAAUCCUCCACGAAAAGUAAGAAAUUUCGCAUAUUUUGACCAAUUCAAGGUAAAAAAUGGGGUUGCUCCCUUGGCAAAACUGGGAUAAAGUUGAGCCAAAAGAUCAUGAUUCAAGAUAAAUUCAUGGGGAAAUGGGAUCUCUUUAGGGUCUACUCCAGCAUUUAAAAAUUGGUUUAUCGGUAAAGAUACAUGUACUUGAUGCCCCGCCCAAGAACGGGACCCAAGUCCCAAUAGCCCUACUAAAUGGUGAUUCAAUAUAGAUUCUACAUCUUGGAACCAAGCCAAUUUUGCGGCCGCUUUGUGAUAAAUAUUCCGCCAUAGUUAGGGCAGCCAAUCCAACUCUCAUACGAGCUCCUAGCGGUUCAUUCAUCUGACCGUAGACUAAAGCCACUUUUGAUUCCGCAAGAUUUUGUUCAUUAAUUACUCCAGAUUCUUUCAUUUCCAUGUAAAGAUCAUUUCCUUCACUAGUCCGUUCACCUACUCCGCCAAAUACAGAUACGCCCCCAUGAGCAUUUUAUCAAAUUCCAUACUAAACCAAUUAACAAUCGAAAUUAUAUAACAAUUCAAAUGCUUAUCAAUUGAUCAAAUUACAAGUUAUUAGCAAUUAAUAUUAAUUUAUAUUAUUUGUUAUUAAUAUUAAGUAAUUAAUAAUAUUUAUAUUAUUCUAUUUAUAUUAAUAUAUUUCGAUUUAGAAAUCUAUAUUUCUAUAUUAUCUAUUAUUAUAUUAUUCUUAUAUUAUUAUUUCUAUUUAGUUAUUAUUUCUAUUUAGUAUAUUUAGAAUUUAUUAUUAUUUAAUUUAAGUUAAAUUUAAAUAGAAAAAUGAAUAAUUUAGUUUAAGUAUAAUUAAAAUAAAUUAUUAAUUUAAUAAUUUAGAAUUUUAUUUUUUAUUAUGAUUUCGAUUUUAUUAUUUUCUUUUCAUUCAUCAUUCAACUAAAAAUAAAAAAGUUGUAUCGUUUUUUCCUAAUUAUUGUAUUCUUUGUUGAUUGGAAUUGGUCGCUUCCAGUUGCUUGGUUAAAAUCAUUCCCAUAAACUCGCUCACAGAGAGAUCACUCAGAGUCUAACCCGGAAAACAAAAGCGCAUUUCAACCGAUCCAAUCGCUCACUUUUUUUUCUUGGAUAAGAAUAAAAUAAACAAAACCCCAUUUAUCUUUUGUUAUUCAAAUCGUGCCUACACCUCUUACUUCUCGUACUAUUUAUAAUUAUGCUAAGCCUAAUCUGAUUGGGGCUAAAUCGAGUAUCAUUAGAUUCACUAUUGGUGUAAAUAAUUUUGAGUUGAAGUUGAACACAAUUUAGAUGUUACAGCAGUAUGUUCAGUUUGAUGGGUUGAAACAUGAAGAAGUUGAAUACAGUCGUGUGGUGUUGUCUAUCACCUUCAAUUUUUCAUCCGAUUUUUAGAUUUCCAUAAUUUUUCUCAAAGUUUUUUGCGGUAGACCACACACCUUACUGCUAUUGGGAUGUCGGCACUAAAAUAUCAAUCCAAACUCAUGUACACAACAUUCACGGCUAACCCGAUUAACAACUAAUACUAACACCGAAACAAAUAUUCUAUACAUACUCACAGAGUGUUCAGCCAAAUACACUUGGGCAUUCGACCCUUACCAAGAAUUUCACAAACCAAACCCUUAAAUCAGAGUAUUCGAAACACUUACCCAAGAAAAAGAGCGAUUCCUACAACACCUAAAUCGCCGGAGUAUUAUCCAUUCCACAUUCGUCACCUGAAGAAGAACAAAAGAUUGACAACACGAAAAGGUGAAAAACCGUAAAAGAAAAGAAGAAAACAAGAUGAGAGAUGACAAGAGAGGAAAAAAGGGCUGAUUAUGGAAAAUAUAAAACAAAACAAAAGAGGAAGAACAGAGAAAAGGGACGGCAAAGAGGGUUUACAGUAGCAAAAUGAAACAAAAUAGAAAAUGAGAAGAGUGGGAAGAGAGAGAUGGCAGGAUGGGAGAGGAAUUUUAGGGAUAUUGUUCCUAUUUUUUUUUAUUUUUUUUAAAAAUCAAGAUAAAAUAAUAUUCAAAUCAAAUUUAGGUUGCUAGUAG
rnacentral:lncRNA from 1 species